ACCCUGGUGGCGAGUGGCGAACGGGUGAGUAACAUAUCGGAACGUGCCAUAGAGUGGGGGAUAACUAGUCGAAAGAUUAGCUAAUACCGCAUACGAUCUACGGAUGAAAGUGGGGGAUCGCAAGACCUCAUGCUCUGUGAGCGGCCGAUAUCUGAUUAGCUAGUUGGUAGGGUAAAAGCCUACCAAGGNGACGAUCAGUAGCUGGNCUGAGAGGACGACCAGCCACACUGGGACUGAGACACGGCCCAGACUCCUACGGGAGGCAGCAGUGGGGAAUUUUGGACAAUGGGGGCAACCCUGAUCCAGCAAUGCCGCGUGAGUGAAGAAGGCCUUCGGGUUGUAAAGCUCUUUUGUUCGGAAAGAAAUCGCUCUGGCUAAUAUCCAGGGUGGAUGACGGUACCGGAAGAAUAAGCACCGGCUAACUACGUGCCAGCAGCCGCGGUAAUACGUAGGGNGCNNGCGUUAAUCGGAAUUACUGGGCGUAAAGCGUGCGCAGGCGGUUGUGCAAGACAGAUGUGAAAUCCCCGGGCUUAACCUGGGAACUGCAUUUGUGACUG
rnacentral:rRNA from 1 species